rnacentral:rRNA from 1 species
UACAGAGGGGGCAAGCGUUAUUCGGAAUUAUUGGGCGUAAAGGGCGCGUAGGCGGCUUGGCAAGUGGAUGGUGAAAUCCCUCGGCUUAACCGAGGAACUGCCGUCCAAACUGCUUAGCUUGAGACCGGGAGAGGUGAGUGGAAUUCCCAGUGUAGCGGUGAAAAUGCGUAGAUAUUGGGAGGAACACCAGUGGCGAAGGCGGCUCACUGGACCGGUACUGACGCUGAGGCGCGAAAGCGUGGGGAGCAAACGGG